UAGGGAAUAUUGGUUAAUGUGCGAAAGCGCGAACCAGCAACGCCGCGUGUGCGAUGAAGGCCUUCGGGUCGUAAAGCACUUUUUGCAGGGACGAGGAAGGACGGUACCUGCAGAAUAAGUCUCGGCUAACUACGUGCCAGCAGCCGCGGUAAAACGUAGGAGACGAGCGUUAUCCGGAUUUACUGGGCGUAAAGCGCGUGCAGGCGGCAUGGCAAGUUGGAUGUGAAAGCUCCUGGCUUAACUGGGAGAGGUCGUUCAAUACUGCCAAGCUUGAGAGUGGUAGAGGGAAGCGGAAUUCCGGGUGUAGUGGUGAAAUGCGUAGAUAUCCGGAGGAACACCAGUGGCGAAAGCGGCUUCCUGGCCCAUUUCUGACGCUCAGACGCGAAAGCUAGGGUAGCAAACGG
rnacentral:rRNA from 1 species